CAAAGGUGAGCCAGUACAGGAUGGACCCGCGUCUGAUUAGCUAGUUGGUAAGGUAACGGCUUACCAAGGCGACGAUCAGUAGCCGACCUGAGAGGGUGAUCGGCCACAUUGGAACUGAGACACGGUCCAAACUCCUACGGGAGGCAGCAGUGGGGAAUAUUGCACAAUGGGCGAAAGCCUGAUGCAGCAACGCCGCGUGAGUGAUGAAGGCCUUCGGGUCGUAAAACUCUGUCCUCAAGGAAGAUAAUGACGGUACUUGAGGAGGAAGCCCCGGCUAACCACGUGCCAGCAGCCGCGGUAAUACGUAGGGGGCUAGCGUUAUCCGGAUUUACUGGGCGUAAAGGGUGCGUAGGCGGUCUUUCAAGUCAGGAGUGAAAGGCUACGGCUCAACCGUAGUAAGCUCUUGAAACUGGGAGACUUGAGUGCAGGAGAGGAGAGUGGAAUUCCUAGUGUAGCGGUGAAAUGCGUAGAUAUUAGGAGGAACACCAGUUGCGAAGGCGGCUCUCUGGACUGUAACUGACGCUGAGGCACGAAAGCGUGGGGAGCAAACAGGAUUAGAUACCCUGGUAGUCCACGCUGUAAACGAUGAGUACUAGGUGUCGGGGGUUACCCCCUUCG
rnacentral:rRNA from 1 species